CAGUGCCACGGUAAUACGAGGGGGGCAAGCGUUGUUCGGAAUUAUUGGGCGUAAAGGGUGCGUAGGCGGCUUGACAAGUCUUGUGUGAAAUCUAUGGGCUCAACCCAUAGUCUGCACGGGAAACUGUCGGGCUUGAGAAUGGGAGAGGUGAGUGGAAUUUCCGGUGUAGCGGUGAAAUGCGUAGAUAUCGGAAGGAACACCUGUGGCGAAAGCGGCUCACUGGACCAUUUCUGACGCUGAUGCACGAAAGCUAGGGGAGCAAACAGGAUUAGAUACCCGGGUAGUCCCUGUCUCUUAUACA
rnacentral:rRNA from 1 species